rnacentral:rRNA from 1 species
GGACGAACGCUGGCGGCGUGCUUAACCCAUGCAAGUCGAACGGAAAGGCCCUGCUUUUGUGGGGUGCUCGAGUGGCGAACGGGUGAGUAACACGUGAGUAACCUGCCCUUGACUUUGGGAUAACUUCAGGAAACUGGGGCUAAUACCGGAUAGGAGCUCCUGCUGCAUGGUGGGGGUUGGAAAGUUUCGGCGGUUGGGGAUGGACUCGCGGCUUAUCAGCUUGUUGGUGGGGUAGUGGCUUACCAAGGCUUUGACGGGUAGCCGGCCUGAGAGGGUGACCGGCCACAUUGGGACUGAGAUACGGCCCAGACUCCUACGGGAGGCAGCAGUGGGGAAUAUUGCACAAUGGGCGGAAGCCUGAUGCAGCAACGCCGCGUGCGGGAUGACGGCCUUCGGGUUGUAAACCGCUUUCGCCUGUGACGAAGCGUGAGUGACGGUAAUGGGUAAAGAAGCGCCGGCUAACUACGUGC